GACGACGAUGACACACCAUCCCCUCCAGCAAUUCAAGAUUUCUUACCUUAUUCUCCUCCUUUCUUACGAUGAAUCAACAGAUUUCAAGAGAUCCUUCACAAGGAUGGAUGAGGGAUAGAGAUUAGAAUGAUAGCAACAAACGAUAGUGGUGGUGGCAGCGUACCAGAUGGGCAUAUGCCUUAUGGAGUUUCAAGAGAGAUGGAUCUUAGCUUAAAGAAUAAGUUCAAAGAAAAUGACAGAGAGACUUCGCUAUGCAAUGCCAUAGAUAGGAUGCUUAAAGAAGAGAGUAAGGAUGAAUUGGUAUAUU
rnacentral:lncRNA from 1 species